AAUAAAGCCUGAUCUGUUUUUAAUAAGCAGAAGGUUUAGAUAUAUGUUUAAACUUAUGAAACUUAAAGAACAUGAAUUUUAAAGAGGCUUUAUGAAGAAAGUAUUUUAAGCUUUUCCAGUAAUUUAAGAUGAUACCGGGGAAGGUUUUCCGGUUUAUCCCGGAGGGCUUGUAGCUCAGUUGGUUAGAGCGCGCGCUUGAUAAGCGUGAGGUCGGAGGUUCAAGUCCUCCCAGGCCCACCAAUUUAUGCUCGCUUUUUUCUUGUUUAAGAGUAUGAAGCUUAUUAAAGCCUCUACAAUCUUUUUUCCUUGUUAAGGAUUUAAUUUUAUUAUCUAAGGAUUGUUUAGUGCAUUUAUUCCGUUAAAUUUGUCAAAGAGGAUUUUAAGAUGUCUUCAAAGAUGUAGACAAAUUUGAAUGAUAGGAAUCGAAAUAGUAUAAGUGAUUCAAGUCGAUGGAUUUUUUGAGGUUGAUUUGAUUUGAGUGAGCAUUAUUUAGGGGCCGUAGCUCAMCUGGGAGAGCACCUGCUUUGCAAGCAGGGGGYCGUCGGUUCGAUCCCGYCCGGCUCCACCAUUAUAUCAUCAUCAUG
rnacentral:misc_RNA from 1 species